UAAGGAAUAUUGGUCAAUGGACGCAAGUCUGAACCAGCCAUGCCGCGUGAAGGAUGAAGGUCCUCUGGAUUGUAAACUUCUUUUAUAGGGGAAGAAACCGGGAAAUUCUUUUUCCGUUGACGGUACCCUGGGAAUAAGCACCGGCUAACUCCGUGCCAGCAGCCGCGGUAAUACGGAGGGUGCAAGCGUUAUCCGGAUUCACUGGGUUUAAAGGGUGCGUAGGUGGGUUUGUAAGUCAGUGGUGAAAUCUCCAAGCUUAACUUGGAAACUGCCGUUGAUACUAUAAAUCUUGAAUGUUGUGGAGGUGAGCGGAAUAUGUCAUGUAGCGGUGAAAUGCUUAGAUAUGACAUAGAACACCAAUUGCGAAGGCAGCUCACUACACAAAGAUUGACACUGAGGCACGAAAGCGUGGGGAUCAAACA
rnacentral:rRNA from 1 species